rnacentral:rRNA from 1 species
CCUACGGGAGGCAGCAGUGGGGAAUAUUGCACAAUGGGGGAAACCCUGAUGCAGCGACGCCGCGUGAGUGAAGAAGUAUUUCGGUAUGUAAAGCUCUAUCAGCAGGGAAGAAAAUGACGGUACGUGACUAAGACGCCCCGGCUAACUACGUUCCAGCAGCCGCGGUAAUACGUAGGGGGCAAGCGUUAUCCGGAUUUACUGGGUGUAAAGGGAGCGUAGACGGCAGAGCAAGUCUGAAGUGAAAGCCCGGGGCUCAACUGCGGGACUGCCUUGGAAACUGCCCGGCUAGAGUGCUGGAGAGGUAAGCGGAAUGCAUAGUGUAGCGGUGAAAUGCGUAGAUAUUAGGAGGAACACCAGUGGCGAAGGCGGCUUACUGGACAGUAACUGACGUUGAGGCUCGAAAGCGUGGGGAGCAAACAGGAUUAGAUACCCGUGUAGUC